rnacentral:rRNA from 1 species
GAUCCUGGCUCAGGACGAACGCUGGCGGCGUGCCUAACACAUGCAAGUCGAGCGGAGACAGUGAGUAGCUUGCUACGAACUGUUUUAGCGGCGGACGGGUGAGUAACGCGUGAGCAACCUUUCCCAGACAGGGGAAUAACACACCGAAAGGUGUACUAAUACCGCAUAAGACCACGGGAUCACAUGGUUCCGGGGUAAAAGAAUUAUCGGUUUGGGGUGGGCUCGCGUCCGAUUAGGUAGUUGGUGAGGUAACGGCCCACCAAG